rnacentral:rRNA from 1 species
UGGUAGUACGGACGAUGAGCCGGGGUAAUAUGUGUGGUGGAAGGAUUAAUCGGUAUUACUGGGCGUAAGGCGUGCGUAGGAGGUGUUGUAAGAAAGGGGUGAAAUCCCCGGUGUCAACCGUGGAACUGCGUUUGUGACUGUGUUGCGAGAGUGUAGCAGAGGGGGGUGGAAUUCCACGUGUAGCAGUGAAAUGCGUAGAGAUGUGGAGGAACACCGAUGGCGAAGGCAGCCCCCUGGGUUAACACUGACGCUCAUGCACGAAAGCGUGGGGAGCAAACAGGAUUAGAUACCCGGGUAGUC